ensembl:ncRNA lncRNA:CR32160 long non-coding RNA:CR32160
CAUUCGGGCAGUUGGCCAGCAGCCGCCACUUUCAGCACUUCAGGCCAAGACGGGUGUCGCUGAAAAUGUGCUUCGCACUUGUCAUUUUCCUCCUCGCAACUGACCGUGAAAAUUUCCCCUAGCUGCAACACGCACAGCAGCCGCAAACCGAACUCGCCCAAAGUAGUCCAAGUUCAAUGGAAACGCACUUGCGUGUAUCUGUCAUGGCCAAAACAUAACUGGCUCUGAUGUCCGGAGGGGCGGGGGGAUUUGCCUCUUCGGCUGUUUCGUCUGCGGUAGAAGGCCAACGGAGGCGGAGGUAAUAGCGGUGGUAAUGGAGGAGGUAGUGGUAAUGGUAAUGCUAUCGUCACCGCGUUGAGAAAGGAAUGUGCGCAAACUCGCUGGCCAAUUUGUUUGCCCAUCACGUCGGCCAACGAACGCGAAACGAAAUGAAAAUGAAUUUCUUCAUAUUUUAACAAGCCUCACAGUGGUUUUUAAUGUUUACUUCAUUUCGCUUUCAGUGCGGAGAUGAGUAGGAAAAUACUAUCACGAGAAUUUCGAAUAGUUAUAUCUGGAGAAGUACUUCGGAACUUUUGGAAAUGUAACAUAUUUAAGAUAUCUAAACCGAAUUAAUCUCCGAAUAUACUUUGCUUUACUGUAUCUUUUAUUUCUUUGGGCAACGACAGCACUCCCUUCCUUUCUCCGCCCCUUUUUUUCCGUUCGCAUUUUCAGGUUAUGCUAAUCUCGGCCUGCAAUUGUCUGGCAUAACAAUGGCCAGCUAGACGGGCCAGCGAUAAAGCACCAGAAGGCGCAAAUCCAAAGACCGCCACAAUCACAGCCACAUCCCACAUAGAACCGCACUCGGGACUGGUCUGGAGUUCCGCUUUGUGUAAUAAGCAAACAUCGAUGGCGAUUGCGCAGGCGCGCAGAUCACUCAUACGCCAUGGACGCAGUGGUGGCGGCAAAAAGGGGAUUAAGAUAUAUAUGAUGAUUUUCCUGACUAACCACUUUAGAUCUUUGGCUACUUGGUUGUCACCUUACAUCCCGUUUUUAAUGAUCCCCUCUAAUAUUUUUUGCAUUUGCCACUGCUUGCAAGUGACAAACACAACUGUACCUUCAAUGGUGUUCAACUGUAGUUGUAUUUACCGCCGUUAUGGUGAUUUGUCAGCAAUUUUUAGCAUGAUUAAUGAAUGUUUCAAUCCGGCGACACAACUCCCUCUUCCUCCAACCCACCGCUUUGUUAGCCGAAAUUCUUGAGUGACUUUUAAUAGAUUUGAGUCUAUUUCUGUUAAAUUCCUUGGCAAUAUCCGGGCUGUGUGCUUUUGCCACAUCUGUGUUACAUGUUUGUACAUAUCUCUCUUGGGAUCUCGAGUGGUACUGCUCUGGGGGUAAUGUACGCCUUAUGGCCAGCAGGCAAGUGACAGUUCUGUCGCUGUUUUCGUAUCUUUUUUCCUUAUUUUGUAUUUCUAACAUUGCAUUGCAAAAGACUGGAUACAAGAGCCACUAACCACAUUAAGAAACAGCCAGGCAAUUAUCAGGCAGGGAACCAGUUCCCCGGGCAAACUCGGAUCGAUUGCCUGUUAUCGCCACCGUUUAGCACCAAACUCAAUUUCGCUUUUAAUUAGAGACAUUCGAGCUGAUCUCAACUUAAACGUAAUGAACAACAAUUAGCCGCGCUUAAAGAUCACUUACUCGGGAGUUAAGGAACACUUGUUGACAGUCUUUAAGCGUCAUUACUCUUUCGUCGUGUUCUUACCUUAAUUACCUCUAUUUUGUUAGUAUUUCCGAGUCUUUCAAUAUUAACUUUUGAUCGGCCAUUGUACUUUUGUGAUUUUCAUACACGUUACUGGCUGAAAGGUCGGCUUAGAUCACACGGAAAAAUAUGAACUACGUUUUGAUGUCAUGUAAAUAAUGUAUUGAAAUUAAAAAUGAGGAAGUUAUUACUGCAAGUCAAUUGAGAAAAAUAAGUCAAAUGGUGUGGAAGUAAAGAGCAAAUAACACGAUCAGAAAAAAACACAUAGAAUAUAAAAUUUUAUUAUUAAAUUUGUACUUUAUGAUUACUCGAAUUUAACAAAGCCCCUGUAUUAUGUCGUUUAAGGAUUAUAAUGACUUUUGGUACUUACUUAAGCUUAAGUUAUAAUAAAGGCAAUUAUUUCUUG